rnacentral:rRNA from 1 species
UACGUAGGGCGCAAGCGUUGUCCGGAAUUAUUGGGCGUAAAGAGCUCGUAGGCGGCUUGUCCCGUCUGCUGUGAAAUCCCGGGGCUCAACCCCGGGCGUGCAGUGGAUACGGGCUGGCUAGAGGCAGGCAGGGGAGAACGGAAUUCCCGGUGUAGCGGUGAAAUGCGCAGAUAUCGGGAGGAACACCGGUGGCGAAGGCGGUUCUCUGGGCCUGUACUGACGCUGAGGAGCGAAAGCGUGGGGAGCGAACAGG